rnacentral:lncRNA from 1 species
ACAGUAGGAGGCACAAUACUGUCAUGUUUAUCUCAAGAACAGUGUGAAUUGUGAAGAUUGGAGCCGCAUCUGAUGGGUCAUACUUGUACUAUUGCAUGUAUGCAGUAAACUCUAUAUGCUGUUGAUACUUCUGCAUUAUUUUUGAGCUCAGGAUUAAGUGCUAUUGAUGCUGCUGCAGAGGGCAAAGGGAAAAGUGGGGAAGACUUUUUUCAGAAGGUAAGAAAGAUAUUUCAGUUAUAUAACAGCACCUGACUAGAGAAAAAAAAAAGCAAUCAAUUACUAUGUGUGUGACCAACUAAUUAAACUU